AUUGAACGCUGGCGGCGGGCCUAACACAUGCAAGUCGAGCGGAGCCGCAGCCGAGUACGUCAUACCUAGGCAUAUGCAUGGUAGUCUGCGAUAACGUUCGGAAACGGACACUAAUACCGCAUACUAUCAGAUGAGCCUAGGUCGGAUUAGCUAGUUGGUGAGGUAAUGGCUCACCAAGGCUACGAUCCGUAACUGGUCUGAGAGGAUGAUCAGUCACACUGGAACUGAGACACGGUCCAGACUCCUACGGAGGGCAGCAGUGGGGAAUAUUGGACAAUGGGCGAAGUCUUGCUGCGGCAAUGCGGCGGGUGUGAAAAAGGUCUACGGUUGGUAAAGCGUUUGAAGUGGGAGGGCGUUACCGGCAGAGUAAGCACCGGCUAACUAUGUGCCAGCAGCCGCGGUAAUAC
rnacentral:rRNA from 1 species